rnacentral:rRNA from 1 species
AAUAGAUACCCGGGUAGUCCACGCCGUAAACGAUGAGUGCUAAGUGUUAGAGGGUUUCCGCCCUUUAGUGCUGAAGUUAACGCAUUAAGCACUCCGCCUGGGGAGUACGGCCGCAAGGCUGAAACUCAAAGGAAUUGACGGGGGCCCGCACAAGCGGUGGAGCAUGUGGUUUAAUUCGAAGCAACGCGAAGAACCUUACCAGGUCUUGACAUCCUCUGACAACCCUAGAGAUAGGGCUUCUCCUUCGGGAGCAAAGUGACAGGUGGUGCAUGGUUGUCGUCAGCUCGUGUCGUGAGAUGUUGGGUUAAGUCCCGCAACGAGCGCAACCCUUGAUCUUAGUUGCCAUCAUUAAGUUGGGCACUCUAAGGUGACUGCCGGUGACAAACCGGAGGAAGGUGGGGAUGACGUCAAAUCAUCAUGCCCCUUAUGACCUGGGCUACACACGUGCUACAAUGGACGGUACAAAGAGCUGCAAGACCGCGAGGUGGAGCUAAUCUCAUAAAACCCGUUCUCAGUUCGGAUUGUAGGCUGCAACUCCG